CAGUGAGUGGGAAGUCAGGUGGACCCAUGUUGUAAGAGAGGACGUGCUUCAUUGGGUCAUCCAUAGUCUACCUGGCUGUCUCCCCCAGAGAGAAGGCAUAUUCUCCAGGCCUCGGGUAUCAGCAGACAUGCAACUCUGCACAUCGAUCCAUCAUAGGAUUCAAGGGCAUCCACGUGGAGUCCACCAGCAAAUCACUGAGUGACAGAGUGGAGGCUGGCAGAGAAGCCUGCAGCCACCAGGACCCAUGCAAUGGAAAGUGGCCUGUGUGUUUCAUGACAUGGAGUUUCCUUUAGAAUCUUUGUGUGAAUUCAACAUUUUCAACUACAGAAGAGAGAGAAGGAAAGAAAAAAACAAGUGAGUUCAUUUUUCUCUUGGAUUUAGUAGAGGCAAGAGCCUCUUUUCAGCCUCACAAUCUCCUCUCCACCCAGGAGGAAGACACAUGUAUAUCAUGUUGCUGAGGUCAGGGAGGGGGUGAUUGUGAGGUUAGUAUUUCUCAAGAAAUGGAGUCAGUGUCCUCAGGCCCUUCCCUGGUCCCCAGGCCCUUCCUUGGUUCCCCAGGAUGACGUGAGCGGUUCCUCCCCGAUAUUCCACAUGCCUCUCCUUAUCACACUUACCAUAGCUGUGAUUUAAUAUUCAUAUGUGAGCGUAUUUGAUUGCCUUUUUGCUUCCUCAUAAUUCUUUAAGCUCCACAAUAACACGGACUGUGUUUGUGUGGAUUCAACAUUGAAUCCACGCAGGGCCCAACGAAAUUUCUGGACAGAAAAUAAGUGAUCAGUAAAUGUUUGUGAAAUGAAUAAAUGAUGGAAAUAAAAAGAAAGGACA
rnacentral:lncRNA from 1 species